rnacentral:lncRNA from 1 species
GCUUGUGAUACCAGUGACCUGGGUUUGGGGAGUUUUGACCGGAAAAGCUCGAUUUCACUCCGGGAAGGAGAUCAUUUUGCCUAAGGUCUUGCUUCUCAAUAUGCCGUGUAGAGGUGGAAUCGAUCGAACCCGAUUCUAGGGUUCUUGAGCUUUUCUGGAAAAUUUUCACCGGUUCGAUUCGGCCACGUAGAGGACGAGAGGAGUCUCCAUACGAGGAAAAUACCGAGCGACGUCAGGAUUGAGCAUAUAUUUUUUCAGUGUUGCUGCUCGGCGUCCUGAAGUGAGCCAUAGUGACCGCAUCCGCUUCCGUCAUCAUAAUUUGUAGGUUAUUUAUUUAGCCUACUGUACUCUGUGUUAAACUUAUAUUCCUAGAAUGCUCUGAUUACUAAGGGAUAUGUGACCCAAACUUGUACGAAUUAUAUUUGAGGUCUAUGACCUAACUUUGGUGAUUGUAGUAACUUAUACCCUUUGGAGAUUAUGUUUGAUGCUGUUAGUUUUUGAGAUGGGAUUGAAGUGA